rnacentral:rRNA from 1 species
GACGAACGCUGGCGGCGUGCUUAACACAUGCAAGUCGAACGAUGACGACCGAGCUUGCUCGGUCUGAUUAGUGGCGAACGGGUGAGUAACACGUGAGCAACCUGCCCUUCACUCUGGGAUACCUCGGGAAAUCGGGGCUAAUACCGGAUAUGAGCUCCUGUCGCAUGGCGGGUGUUGGAAAGUUUUUCGGUGAAGGAUGGGCUCGCGGCCUAUCAGUUUGUUGGUGAGGUAGUGGCUCACCAAGGCGAUGACGGGUAGCCGGCCUGAGAGGGCGACCGGCCACACUGGGACUGAGACACGGCCCAGACUCCUACGGGAGGCAGCAGUGGGGAAUAUUGCACAAUGGGCGAAAGCCUGAUGCAGCGACGCCGCGUGAGGGAUGACGGCCUUCGGGUUGUAAACCUCUUUCAGCAGGGAAGAAGCGAAAGUGACGGUACCUGCAGAAGAAGCGCCGGCUAACUACGUG